CGUCACGCACGCAAAGGACUCGAUGCCGUACGGAAACCAAGGCUCUUUGCGGCGACACAGCCAGAUGAGGCGGUCUGCUGUGGAAAGGCCACGGCGCGAUAUCAUACCUUCCGACGUUACCACAAGGUGUACGCCCAGGUUUGCGAUUUCGUCGAUCAGAGGCGCGCUUUGUUCGGUAGCCCAGUAGAGGUCGUCCACAAGCACGAGGACGCCUUCGUGAGCAUACGCGCGGACGAGCGGUCCGACGGCGCCCCACAUGUCGCCAACGUCAGAGUCGCCAAAACGAUGCCCGUCGUCGGUGCGCGUGGCCUCGUAAUCAGAGAUACCGAGACCCGCAAACACCUGGCCGAGGUCUCCGUCGUUGGACACAACGCACACGACGUGCUUGACGCGCCUCUUUAGGACGCGGGCGAUGCGCACGGCGAUGGUGGUCUUGCCCGCGCGGCGCGCGCUCUGCACGCAGGUGGCAGACCCGCGGUCCGGUCGACGCACGUGCGAGACACCGCGCCAGGCCAGGUCGCGCGUGCCAAAGUGCGCGUCUGCGAUCUCUGACCACGCCGUCAACAGGCGGCGCGCCACACGGCAGAACUCGGGCGAACCGCAGAGCGGCGCGUACGCCGAGCCGAGCCACGCGCGCAGGACCUCGACGUCGGUCACGUCGUCGUCCUCGUUUUUUUCGUCCGUCAAGGCGGCCUCGGCCGCGCGCAAGGCCUCGCCGACGAGAUGAUGCCAAAAGACCUCUUCCAAGGCCAACGAUGGUAAAUACGCAAAGAUGCCCAUGAUCUCUAUGGACUCUCUGUCUGUGGGCAGAGGCCAUGGGCACAUGCACGCGGCGGCACGCCCAAGAUGGGCCACGCCCAGAUCAUAGUGCAUUUUUUUUCUCUUCUCUCUUUCCGUUCUUGUUGGCCACGCGGAGCCAACGCGCGAGUCGUGUGUGCGCGCGACGUCAAACCGCCCUUUUUUCUUUUUGGAACAAAGGAAUGGCCACGCGACAGAGGACCUUGUUGUGCUCUUGCCGUUCUCCCGAGCAGGCGGCGCCAGUCUAGUGGGGCGCAGAGCGGCAGAUUGCAACAUAGAAUCCAUGCCAAUCUAUUUACCGAAAAAAAAGGCAAUCGCACGGCGAAUAAAAACCAGACCCAUCGAGCGACGCGAAAAAUAGGUCUAGCCAGUUGCUGCCGCGACAACAACUGGCCCCCAACAUGUUGCAAGUCGGCAAUGGAACCCAGGGCGCGCGUCGUCAGCGAGCCCGAGUUGUCUCGUGUGUGUGUCCUCGAUCGUGUUCUUUUUUCCCAUUGGACCAAUAUUUUUGUAGACAAAAAUGUCAAUGGCGCAAGGAGGGUACGAUCGCGCUGCACGCGAGCGACGCAGCAGACAGACGCAAAGAGGGACAACUCAUGACAACGUCGCCGGCGCGCGCAGACGCGCCACGGCCAGAGGCGCCAACUGGUGGCACAAGAGUUCGGGUCGUCGGGCGACGACCAACGGGUCGACGCCGACGCCCCACACGGCGGCGGCCUCGACCAGGCGCGCCGAAUCGCGCAGGCGCCCGUUGGGCAGGGACGGCGCUCUGCACGUGCGUUGCCACGCAUAGGCGGCGGCCCGGUCGAGCACAUCGCGCGAUACCAGACCGAGAUCAAGAGGGCCGUUGUAGGCGGCAGCGGCGGCCUGCACCAACGAAGUUUGUGCCUGGCGCCUUGCGGACGCGCCCGCGAGGCGCGCGUCGAUCUGACCGGCAAAGAGUCGCACAGCGAGCGCCAGAUGGCACUCGUCCACCUGUGCGCCGUACAGGCUGGCGUCAUCGACGGCAUUAGCGUUUUCGCGUCCGAUCAGCGUCAAUGCGUACUGGACGCCUGAGGGCAGGGCCAGCGACGACGGCACCGGCACCAUGAGGGCGUCGAUUUGCGCUGCGCCGGUCGGCAGAGGCUCCAACAAGAGGGACGAGAGCGCGUCCAGCGGCACGGGCUCCUCCCAAGGCGCCGGGCGCGCCAGCGACGCCAGAAAGGGCGCCACCCGGUCGAUCAACGGUUGCAGUGCCGGCGACACGGAAAAAGGAGGGGCCGCCACGUGCAUCCGGUACCGGAACCGGUGGGCGUCAUCGGGCAUCGAUAUGGCCGACACCAGAGGACUGUGGCCGGGCUGCGGCGUCAAGUUGACGAGCAUGACCCACGCCUCACUGUCCACGUAAAAGCGCAGCACAUAGUAGGCGCCAGUCGGCGUGCAGGCAAGGCUCUGGGCGAGGUCGCGGGCAUCGGUCGCGAGCGUCAAGGCAGACGGGUCCAUUGACGCGAGGGCAGCCUGCCGGCGGACGGCCUGGCCGAGCGCCAUGCCCAGCGACUGACCGGCGAUGGCCGGGCCCGAGACGGCGCUCUCGUCCUCGAUCCGCGCCAUGUGGCGACCCGCCGUCGCAGGCUCCAUCUCAGCAUAGACCGCCUGCACGUCGGCAAAGGUGGGCGGCCAGCCCGAUAUGCGCCCGGCGCGCGCCGCCUCGGCCACGACGGCCGCCGCGCCACUUCCCCAUGUGAGCGACUCCCACAGGCUGUCGUAGGCCUUGCGAAGCCGCGGAUAAAACCCGCCGCCUCGACGCGCCGCCUGCGUGCCCGAUUCAAUGUGGCCAGCGGCGAGGCGCACGAUCUCGCCCAAGUCCUCUGCAUUGGCCGUGCCACUUUGCAGGCGAUCGAUCCGUUGGUCCAACGUCUGGACGUCGCGCUCGUGAAUGUCGGAUGCAUCCAUAGUGUCGCCGUCAUCACCGCCCAAAUCGUCAAGCAAAGCCUGUUGGUCUGUGCGCGGACGCUUGGGUCCCAUUUGGUCAGGCUCAACCUCUUGCUGCCCGUCUUGACUGUCGUCGACGUCUUGGACCAUGCGGUCCGCGUCGCUGAUGGCGGUCGGCGAUCUCACGCGCUUCAUUUUGCGCGGACGCCUUGUCUUUGUGCGCUCCCAAAAGAUGGAAAAAACAGCAAUAAAAUUUGCGCAAGA
rnacentral:lncRNA from 1 species